rnacentral:rRNA from 1 species
UACAGAGGUCCCGAGCGUUGUUCGGAUUCACUGGGCGUAAAGGGUGCGUAGGUGGUGAGGAAAGUCGGAUGUGAAAUCUCCAAGCUCAACUUGGAAAUGGCAUUGGAAACUACCUUGCUCGAGGUUUGGAGGGGGGACUGGAAUUCUCGGUGUAGCAGUGAAAUGCGUAGAUAUCGAGAGGAACACCAGUGGCGAAGGCGAGUCCCUGGACAACACCUGACACUGAGGCACGAAAGCCAGGGGAGCAAACAGG